rnacentral:rRNA from 1 species
GUGUCAGCCGCCGCGGUAAUACGUAGGGUGCAGGCGUUAAUCGGAAUUACUGGGCGUAAAGCGUGCGCAGGCGGCUCCUUAAGUCAGAUGUGAAAGCCCCGGGCUUAACCUGGGAACUGCGUUUGAAACUGGGGAGCUAGAGUGUAGAAGAGGGGGGUGGAAUUCCAGGUGUAGCAGUGAAAUGCGUAGAGAUCUGGAGGAACACCGAUGGCGAAGGCAGCCCCCUGGGCUAACACUGACGCUCAUGCACGAAAGCGUGGGGAGCAAACAGGAUUAGAAACCCCCGUAGUCC